rnacentral:pre_miRNA from 1 species
AUGUGUGUAGGACCCCAAAGGAUCACCAUUAAAUUUAGCAUACAUCUCUAAAAAAGUUAUCACAUGGAUGUGGGACUUGACUUUUCUAGAGAUGUGUGUCAAAUUUAAUGGUGAUCCUUUGGGGUCCUACACACAUGGGUGUGGG